UUUCAUUGCCCUUCUCUGGACACAUUCCAGGGCCUCAAUGUUUUUCUUAUAGUGAGGGGCCCAAAACUGAACACAGUACUCAAAGUGCAGCCUCACCAGUACUGAGUGAUGAUCACCUCCCUGGUCCUGCUGACUACACCGUUUCUAAUACAAACCAGGAUGCCAUUGUCCUUCUUGGCCACCUGGGCACACUGCUGGCUCAUGUUCAGAUGACCAUCAACUAACACCCGCAGCUCCUCUUCCUUUGUACAGCUUGCCAGCCACUCUGCCCCAAGCCUUUAGUGCUGAAUGUGAAUCCCCAGAAACUGAGCUUACGAUGGUUGCAAUUGAACCUCCCAAGAGUGCUGUAUCAGUACUCUAUCCCAGUUAUGUUACAGGGAAAUUAAUGUAGCUAUGUGACAUAGCAUACUCUACUUAUUUGCAGUCAAUCUUUCUAACAAAUAUUACCAUUGCCAAAAUAUAAGUAAUGUUUUUUUUGUUUGUUUGUUUGUUUGUUUUUGGCAACAGGUCAAAAUAUAAUCACAACACAGUAUCCUUAACAGUCUGAACGAACAAAUGCUGUCAAAAUGCUGUAGAUAAGUUGUUGCAUUUUGCUGCUGGGUAAUUUUAUUUUCUUACAUGUACAGCACUUUGAAGUCUCAGAUUGUAUUUUCAGUUCUGCCACCUUCUGUGUAGUCUAAUAGGAGUUACUCCAGUUCACCUUCAAGUCUCUCCUAAAUUGAGAUUAUAAGGUUUCCUUGUCUACUUUUCUCUUGAUUUGAAUGAAAAGAUUACAUUUUGGUUAUUCUUGGUUUUCCCAGGUAUGCUUGGCUUGGAAUUCCCCCUGAUGCUUACAGCAGUCAGUAUGAAUCUUUGCUUUUGCAGGUUUAAUAUAAACCAGCUAUUAUAGAAUGGGAAUUCAAGAUAACAUGCUUUAUGACAUUAAAAAGAAAAAAAAAAACACAAAACAGUUCAAAGUAAUGUGUUUGUGGUGGUGUUUUUUUUUUUUUUUUUUUUUUUUUUUCCUCUGAGAAUCAGUAAUACAGAUAGGUACUGAUAGGACAAGGGGAAAUGGUUUUAAACUAAAAGAAGGGAGAUUUAGAUUUGAUGUUGGGGAAAUUUUUCACUGAGAGGGUGGUGAGGGGCUGGAACAGGCUGCCCAGAGAGGUUGUGGAUGCCCCGUCCCUGGAGGUGUUCAAGGCCAGGCUGGAUGGGACCCUGGCAGAGCAAUUGAUUUCUUGCCAAAUCUAAGGUGGUGGGCAUUCCUUCUGCUAGAGAUGUUGCCCUAAUAUUAGCAACAAUAUCCUUCUUGAUUAUGCCGAUAUGCAUAUGCAGAGGUUAGUAGUAGACAUUAAAAAGAUGGGAGUGGUCAGUCUCUGUCAUUUCUAACAGCCUUGUUAUUUCUACCAGAAUGCAUAGAGUAUGACAUCUAUGGGCAACUGCAGAGAACAGGCAAAGCAUUUGCAAAAUGUGGGCAGCUUCCCUCACCAAGUCAGCCACACCUGGUGUUGACAUCCAGAUCUUAGAAACUGGAACAAAGAUGGCACCAGAGGGGCAGUCUGACAGAAUGGCCUAAGAUGAUUCCUCUUCACUCAAUGUGGCCCAGGAAAGCUAAAGGUAAUGGGUACAUUAGUACCACCCAGUUAGAGGGCCUUGCUGCUCAAGCUCUGUGGAUGACAAGUGUGAGUGCGCACAACUACUUGGUUUUCUGAGUCAUAUGAAAGCACCACUGCCAGUGGAAAUGGGGACUGCGAACUACUGGUAUGGUUCCCAAAUGAGACUCAAGAGGAUUAGGCUUUUACUCAAUGCUGGGCCUGAACAUUUAUCUAUUCUUCUGUUUUCAUUUGAGUUGUCUCUCAAAGAUUGCAAUGGAGUUGGAAUCUUCAACCUGAGGAAGCAAUACUAUUUCAAUAAAGGAAAGAAUUCAUGUUGAUUC
ensembl:lncRNA